rnacentral:rRNA from 1 species
CGGCCGCGGUACCCUGACCGUGCUAAGGUAGCAUAAUCCCUUGCCUCUUAAUUAGUGGCUAGUAUGAAUGGAUAAACGAAAAUUUAGCCGUCUCUAUAAAUUUUAUAAAAAUUAUCUUUCAAGUGAAGAGACUUGAAUAAUAAUAAAAGACAAGAAGACCCUGUAGAGCCUAAGCACUCCUUAAAUUCUAAAAAUAAAACUAAACUGUAUAUUUUAAAAAUGCUUAAGUUGGGGCGACUUAGGAACACCUAAAACUUCCUUCUUCACAUAAGGCAUCUACGCCUAAAAAAUGAUCCGUCUAUCUUUUUAUUACGACCAAAAGAAAAGGCUACCUCAGGGAUAACAGUCUAAUCUUCCUUAAGAGCCCAAAUUGACAGGAAGGAUUGGCACCUCGAUGUUGGCUUAGGGGCCCUUCAAGGUGCAGCCACCUUGAAAGUAGGUUUGUUCAACCUUUAAUACCCUACGUGAUC